UACGUAGGGGGCUAGCGUUGUCCGGAAUCAUUGGGCGUAAAGCGCGUGUAGGCGGCCCGGUAAGUCCGCUGUGAAAGUCGGGGGCUCAACCCUCGGAUGCCGGUGGAUACUGUCGGGCUCGAGUGCGGAAGAGGCGAGUGGAACUCCUGGUGUAGCGGUGGAAUGCGCAGAUAUCAGGAAGAACACCGACGGCGAAGGCAGCUCGCUGGGACGGUACUGACGCUGAGGCGCGAAAGCGUGGGGAGCGAACAGG
rnacentral:rRNA from 1 species